UACGAAGGGGGCUAGCGUUGCUCGGAAUCACUGGGCGUAAAGCGCACGUAGGCGGCUUUUUAAGUCAGAGGUGAAAUCCUGGAGCUCAACUCCAGAACUGCCUUUGAUACUGAAGAUCUUGAGUCCGGGAGAGGUGAGUGGAACUGCGAGUGUAGAGGUGAAAUUCGUAGAUAUUCGCAAGAACACCAGUGGCGAAGGCGGCUCACUGGCCCGGUACUGACGCUGAGGCACGAAAGCGUGGGGAGCAAACAGG
rnacentral:rRNA from 1 species